UAAUAUACGCUUGUCUCAAAAGGUUAAGCCAUGCAUGUCUAAGUACAAAACAGAGUUUAAUGUGAAACCGGCAUAAGGGCUCAGUAUAACAGCUAUAAUUUACAACGAUCAUUUAACUAGUUACUUGGAUAACUGUGGAAAAUCUAGAGCUAAUACAUGCAAAAUGCAGGAACCUCGCGGAACCUGUGCAAUUAUUAGUCAAACCAAUCGUCAUCCGUGACGCUGGAGUUGAAAUCUGGAUAAUUUUGUUAAUCGUAUGGUCUCGCACCGACGACAGAUCUUUCAAAUAUCUGCCCUAUCAACUAUUGAUGGUAGUAUAGAGGACUACCAUGGUUGCAACGGGUAACGGGGAAUCAGGGUUCGAUUCCGGAGCAGAUCCGUGCUCUUGAAAAUUUGAACUUUGGCUUCGAUGUAUCUUCACCUUAAGGGAAAGGCAUCAAUUUUCGACCCUUAUAUGCCUACAGCUUACUUUGUAUGGUAAUCCGACUAUUGACACAGAUAUCUUGCAGAUUGAAAAUUUGUCAAUAAAUCUUCGAGCUGUUUAGU
rnacentral:rRNA from 1 species